rnacentral:snRNA from 1 species
AUGCUCACUUCGGCAGCACAUAUACUAAAAUUGGAAUGACACACAGAAGAUUAGCAUGGCCCCUGCGCAAGAAUGACAUGCAAAUUCAUGAAAUGUUUCAUAUAUUU